GAACCUCGACAGGAAUCGAACCUGCGCCUCCGACGUGGUAGUCGACGUGCCACGCACUACACCACAAGGUU